AGCGAACGCUGGCGGCGUGCUUAACACAUGCAAGUCGAACGCUCGUAGCAAUACGAGAGUGGCGGACGGGUGAGUAACGCGUGGGAAUCUAUCUUACGGCGGGGAAUAACCCCGGGAAACUGAGGCUAAUACCGCAUACGCCCUUCGGGGGAAAGGGUUCGGCCACCGUUUGAGGAGCCCGCGUCCGAUUAGCUAGUUGGUGAGGUAACGGCUCACCAAGGCGACGAUCGGUAGCUGGUCUGAGAGGAUGAUCAGCCACACUGGGACUGAGACACGGCCCAGACUCCUACGGGAGGCAGCAGUGGGGAAUAUUGGACAAUGGGCACAAGCCUGAUCCAGCCAUGCCGCGUGUGUGAAGAAGGCCUUUUGGUUGUAAAGCACUUUAAGCGAGGAGGAGGCUCUCCUAGUUAAUACCUAGGAAGAGUGGACGUUACUCGCAGAAUAAGCACCGGCUAACUCUGUGCCAGCCGCCGCAGUAAAAC
rnacentral:rRNA from 1 species